CCUACGGGAGGCAGCAGUGAGGAAUAUUGGUCAAUGGGCGCGAGCCUGAACCAGCCAAGUCGCGUGAGGGAAGACGGUCCUAUGGAUUGUAAACCUCUUUUGUCGGGGAGCAAAAGACGCCACGUGUGGCGUUCCGAGAGUACCCGAAGAAAAAGCAUCGGCUAACUCCGUGCCAGCAGCCGCGGUAAUACGGAGGAUCCGAGCGUUAUCCGGAUUUAUUGGGUUUAAAGGGUGCGUAGGCGGAAGAUCAAGUCAGCGGUAAAAUUGAGGGGCUCAACCUCUUAGAGCCGUUGAAACUGGUGGUCUUGAGUGCGCGAGAGGUAUGCGGAAUGCGUGGUGUAGCGGUGAAAUGCAUAGAUAUCACGCAGAACUCCGAUUGCGAAGGCAGCAUACCGGCGCUCAACUGACGCUCAUGCACGAAAGUGUGGGUAUCGAACAGGAUUAGAUACCCGAGUAGUC
rnacentral:rRNA from 1 species